GCGAUAAUAGGAAAUUAAAUAUUGUGAAUUAUUUAUUUAUGCUGUUAAACUGAGGACUGAGCCCUUGGAACUCUGCACCAGGGCCCACUGUGAUGUCACCGUUGUCGCCGGGAUUCGAACUGACGUUACAACGAGGGCGCCCGUUCCAAAUUCGGACAGUUCUCAUCUUUCCCCGCAAAGUGUGUGAACUGAACUCCUUUCGUUGUGUUUUACUCAGAGAAAACGAGACAUUUCGCGAGAAAACAAAGAUGUCAACGUCCAAGCAAACGUGGCUUACGGCAACGGCUACUGGCAGCCAGGAAUUAACAUCUUCAGACUUUCCCAAGUGCUAUGGGAUCACCGGUCCCAUCAGCGAAGAUUUACCGGAGGAGGAUGACUUGAUCCAAACCAGAAGACUCAUCGAAACCAUGAAGUCUUACGAUGUGUUUGAGACUGAUUUGGACCUUCAGCAAAGAGAGAAGGUCAUGAAGAGACUGGAGUCCCUCUAUAAGGAGUGGCUGCAAGAAAAGUGCGAAGAAAUGAAUGUACCCGAAGUGGUGAAAGACAAGGUUGGAGGCAAGAUCUUCGCAUUUGGCUCCUAUCAUCUGGGAGCACACUCUAAAGGUGCUGAUAUCGACGCUCUCUGCGUCGGCCCAGGAUUUCUCGAGAGGAAAGACUUCUUCACUUCCUUCUGUGAGAAGCUGAAAGCUCAGAACGAGGUCAAAGGCAUUCACGCCAUUGAAGAGGCGAUAGUUCCUGUCAUCAAACUGUCCUAUGAUGGGAUAGAGAUUGACUUGGUCUUCGCCAAGAUUCCACAAAGAAGCGUUCCUGAGAAUCUAGACCUUCUGGAUAACAACGUGGUGAAGAACAUAGAUGAGCGCUGCAUAAGGAGUCUCAAUGGCUUCAGAGUUACAGAGGAGAUCCUCAGACUUGUGCCGAACGUUUUCACCUUCAGGCAGACUUUGAGAGCCAUCAAGCUAUGGGCUAACCGCCGUAACAUUUACUCCAACAUGCUGGGCUUCCUGGGCGGCGUAUCUUGGGCUAUAAUGGUUGCCAGAAUUUGUCAGGCGUACCCGCACGCUACAGCCUCCACACUUGUGGCCAAGUUCUUCAAGAUCUACUCCAUGUGGAUCUGGCCGACGCCGAUUCACUUGCAGAAAGUAGAAAACUGCUACUCCAACCCCCGCUUCUGGGAUCCAGCGGUCAAUCCAAGUGACCGCUGCCACCUGAUGCCCAUCAUCACGCCAGCAUACCCACGCCAGAACACCUCAGUCAACGUGUCUCGCUCCACCUUAGCUGUCAUGAAGGAGGAGAUCCAGCGGGGCCUUACUGUUUAUGAGGAAAUCCAGCAGAAAAAAGAACAGUGGUCCAAACUCUUUGAGACCCCAGACUUUUCUGAGAAAUACGAGCAUUUCGUUGUGCUGAGAGCGUCUUGUGCUGCAGAGAGCCAGCAUCGGCAAUGGAUAAGCCUGGUGGAGUCAAAAAUCAGACUCCUGGUGGGAACUCUGGAGAAAAAUGAACGCAUUUCUCUGGUGCAUGUCAACACAGUGCCCCUUCCUGGAUCCAGGCUGCCUGACGAUAAAGGUGGAAAGAGCACAACGUGGCUGAUAGGACUUGUCUUCAAAAUGAAUACACCUUAUAAAAAGUCUAACUCAUACCAGAUGAAACAAAGCCUCUUCUCCAGCCUCAAGUCCUUCACUAAAAAUAUCUACAGCAUGGCGAAGAGCUGCAAGGUAUAUGAAGAGGGGAUGAACAUAACGGCUGUAUACACGAGGAAGAAACCAGAACAGAGGGCCGGACCGAGCCGUCCAAGCUAUGGAACGCGGCCACAUAGUCGCACGCCACCUUUCCGUGCAGGAAACAAAGGCAGAAAAAGAAAAGCCACACCUGCACCAGGCUUGCCCUCCAAGAUACUGAAAGCUGACAAGCGAACAACGUCUGUGACAAACGUCCCCUUUGCUCAAGCUGCGUUCACUCCCGGCAGACCUGCUUCACACGCCGUGAUCCCAAAGGGUACAAAGAGACCUUACUCUGCCUGUUCUCAAGCUUCAGCUAAGAAGUUCAAAGCUGCUGAGGAACCGGCACAAGAGACAAGACCUACCUGCUCUGACGAACCCUCUACAAGUGUCUCGCCCGGCAAGGCAACGCCUCCCAGUUGUAGUCCAAACGGCGCCACGGGUCCCGUUUCUCCUGAGCUUGAGACACCGGCCACAUCCAGAUGUGACCUGCCUGUUGCUGAGCUGUCUGACUUGCCUUCCCCAACAACCAAGGCUGUUUCAUUCGUGAAGCACAGAAUCAAACUGAAGCUCAGGUACAGCAUACACUUAUGAACAGAAAUCUCUUCCUGGUUCACUCUGGCUCUUCUUUUACCUUGUCAAGACCUCCAUACGACUGGCAACCUCGCAUGAGUUGACAUUCAUGGAAGGCCUGUAGCAAGGUUGACUGGUAAAGCUGCGCAAGAACAACUGACUGAGCGCGCCCUGACUGGUUGAUGAGCCUGAACAGGCAAAGGAGAAAACUUCCAUCACCAGUUAUAUUUCCAUUUCUGCUUAUUGUGUGCAUUAAAAAAAAAA